CCCUUAGAUGUUCUGGGCCGCACGCGUGCUACACUGAGUGGAUCAGCGGGUCAGGUUGCGCGAAAGCGUUUCCUAAUCUUUAAAUCCGCUCGUGAUGGGGAUUGACGGUUGCAAUUUUCUGUCAUGAACGAGGAAUACCUUGUAAGCGCGGGUCAUCAUCCCGCGCUGAAUACGUCCCUGCCCUUUGUACACACCGCCCGUCUCUCCUACCGAUUGAGUGGUCCGGUGAGGCUUUGGGAUCUGAGCGGAAAGAGCGUUUCGCUGUUUCUGCUCGGAAAACUCAGUCGAACCUUAUCAUUUAGAGGAAGGAGAAGUCGUAACA
rnacentral:rRNA from 1 species